rnacentral:rRNA from 1 species
AUUGAACGCUGGCGGCAGGCCUAACACAUGCAAGUCGAGCGGAUGAAGGGAGCUUGCUCCUGGAUUCAGCGGCGGACGGGUGCGUAAUGCCUAGGAAUCUGCCUGGUAGUGGGGGAUAACGUCCGGAAACGGGCGCUAAUACCGCAUACGUCCUGAGGGAGAAAGUGGGGGAUCUUCGGACCUCACGCUAUCAGAUGAGCCUAGGUCGGAUUAGCUAGUUGGUGGGGUAAAGGCCUACCAAGGCGACGAUCCGUAACUGGUCUGAGAGGAUGAUCAGUCACACUGGAACUGAGACACGGUCCAGACUCCUACGGGAGGCAGCAGUGGGGAAUAUUGGACAAUGGGCGAAAGCCUGAUGCAGCCAUGCCGCGUGUGUGAAGAAGGUCUUCGGAUUGUAAAGCACUUUAAGUUGGGAGGAAGGGCAGUAAGUUAAUACCUUGCUGUUUUGACGUUACCAACAGAAUAAGCACCGGCUAACUUCGUG